rnacentral:rRNA from 1 species
AUUGAACGCUGGCGGCAGGCUUAACACAUGCAAGUCGAGCGGAGCGGCGGACGGGUGAGCACUGUCUGGGAAUCUGCCUGGUAGUGGGGGAUAACGUCCGGAAACGGUCGCUAAUACCGCAUACUAUCAGAUGAGCCUAGGUCGGAUUAGCUAGUUGGUGGGGUAAAGGCCUACCAAGGCGACGAUCCGUAACUGGUCUGAGAGGAUGAUCAGCCACACUGGAACUGAGACACGGUCCAGACUCCUACGGGAGGCAGCAGUGGGGAAUAUUGGACAAUGGGCGAAAGCCUGAUCCAGCAAUGCCGCGUGUGUGAAGAAGGUCUUCGGAUUGUAAAGCACUUUAAGUUGGGAGGCGUUACCAACAGAAUAAGCACCGGCUAAUUUCGUGCCAGCAGCCGCGGUAAUAC